rnacentral:rRNA from 1 species
AGAUUAAGUUAUUAAGGGCGCACGGUGAAUGCCUUGGCACUAGAAGCCGAUGAAGGACGUUACUAACGACGAUAUGCUUUGGGGAGCUGUAAGUAAGCUGUGAUCCAGAGAUUUCCGAAUGGGGGAACCCAACACGAGUUAUGUCGUGUUAUCGACAUGUGAAUUCAUAGCAUGUCAGAUGGUAGACCCGGAGAACUGAAACAUCUUAGUACCCGGAGGAAGAGAAAGAAAAAUCGA